rnacentral:tRNA from 1 species
ACAGUGAUGGUUCAGCGGUAGGAUUCUUGCCUUCCAUGCAGGAAAUUCAGGUUCAAUUCCCAGCCAGUGUA